CUUCAAGGUAAAAGCAAGGACCUUCUUGAGACAACACACUGUCUCCAGAGAGAUUAGAUGGGCUUCAGCACCAGAACUGAUUUAAGUGCACAUGAAAAGAUCGGAAAUACUGAGAACUGUACUCUUGAGAAACAACCCUCCCAGGCCUACAAACCUCAGAAAUCUGCAAUUGGCCAUCCUGCUGAUGCUGCUGAAAGUUGCAACUCGGCCAGAGAUUCCUAACCUGGAGGAGAUACUUGAAUUCAUACGUUUAAUCCAAUAAAGAACAAGCACCUGAAUAACAGAUGUCACACAGCUUUGGAACUUUUGAACAUACCUGAAGUGGAAAAUCUCAGCACUGCUGACCAAAAGCAAGUAACCCUUCAGGUCAAGAUCUAGCAAAAGGAACUCUCCAAGAUGAAAAAAGGAUCCAUGCUCCUUAGAGACUUAUUCAUCUUAAAUCGUGAAUCAAGAGGAAACUGGAAGGAGAAGGCAAAUGAAGAAUGUACCUACCAAUGGCACAUUGUUCAUUUGAGAAGUUCUUGGGCCUUGGUGGAAUCUUUAACUGAUUGCAGAAGUUUUGUAGACGGGUCAACGAACUGCUGUUGUUAGUUCUUAAUGCAGUAUGUAUCAUAACGGGAA